GGGGUUGUGGCUCAGCAGUAGAGCGCUCACCUAGCACAUGAGAGGCACUGAGUUCAAUCCUCAGCACCA
rnacentral:tRNA from 1 species